AGGAGGAGCAGGGAGAAACAGGUGAAACCCUAACUCAACAAAACCUUCAAAUUGGAGGAUCAAACGAAGGCCAAAUUCGGAUUGGGAUAUACAUAAACGAUCACCAAGUCAAGGGGAUCGAAAGUUGACUCUAAACAAGCUAGGUGGGAGCUUGGAAAGGAACGGGUCAAACGGAUCAUGGAUGCAAAGAAUGUUUGCGCGGACGCGAGGUAAAUACCAAGUGUUCCCGGAUGAAGAUCAAGCUCAAGGAAGAACCGAACACGAUCAAAGAUACAAGCUUCCGCAUAUCAUUUCGUCGAUAUUUUAAUCAACGAACUCUAUUUCAUUGCGUGCAUUCUUUUUAAAUUGUAAAAGAUUUAAAUUACCCGUAUUUUCCACGGAUACGAAAUCUUAACUACAUGUUUAUUUUCGUAAUUCAUACGAAAACCAUUAAAUAAUACUAAGGGUGUUACAUCCUG